CAGCUAGUAGUCGUGUUCCGGAUUUUAACGAUUUUUUUGUGGAUUUUACCGAAUUUUUAAAUGAUGGAAUUUUACUAAAAUUUAAACUAGAUUACAUUGAUCCGGAUUUACCGGUUCGAUCCCGGAUCUGAGUCGGGUUUCAAAACACUCUAAAAGACACUAAAACAAAGCGUAAAAACAACAGUUAAACAGAUCGUAAUGAAUUAGCAAACUAAAUUUGAGUUUAAUUGCAAUGAUCAGGUUAACGAUGGUAGGGGGUCAACGUUAGUUUGAAGCCGAACAUUUGGUCAAUAAAAGAUUUAAGAAUCGCGUAAAAAUGGGCUCGAAAUUGGUGUCACAAGAAGCCCAUUAGUAAAGUGUUAUCCAAGAAAGAGUAAAGCCCAUGCGCGUCCUCCUUUCAUAUGGCGAGCGCCGUCGUCUCGGCUGCGUUUCGAAUCCCGUUCCCCACCAGCCGACUCUUCAAUCCUGCGCCGUGGAUUAGCUCGCAUCGUUCAACGAUCCGGUUUGGCCAUCCCCGUCGGAUCACAACAGAUUCGUCCAUGAGCCAACAGAGCGGCGAAAUGGGUGCCGUCGUCGAUGCCUCCAGUAACGACGAGAACUCGUCAGAGAAACCUGACGAUGUCGUGGUACAGUACGUGGUGCUUCGUCGUGAUCUGAUCGAUUCGUGGCCACUCGGGAGCGUGGUGACGCAGGGAUGCCACGCGUCUGUGGCGGCGAUUUGAUUGUGAACCGCAGCACAUUGAUUCUAUGCACAAGGUGACUUUGGAGGUUAAAGGGGAAACUCAGAUGAUGAAUUUGUUAUAGCAACAAAGCCUUAUCCCAAAUCUCAAGUCUCUACUUUCUUCAAGAAGCUCAAGCUUUGCAAGUGAUCAUUCUCGUUUUUUUCAUUUCUAUAAGCUGAUUUAUUCAUCAUGAUUCACACAAAUGGAUACAAAUCACAAAGAGAAAUUUUAAUUUACAAACGUUUAAAAAGACAACAACACGUAACUACGUAAGGUAAGUCAGCAAUUUGGAUAUAUUAUUACAUAGAAAGUUACAAAAGAGAGAGAGAGAGAGAUCUCGGUGAGAGUUUUUAUUUAAUUCAGGAAUGGGCGAUGAGGCGUUUACCGCAGGUGGAGCAAAUAAGGCGACGUUUGGAUUUGUUAUAGAGAGGGACGAAGCAGAAUCUCCACUGGCUUUCUACGUCUACCGUUUGAACCAUCCCGCCGCAGUAGGGGCAGGCUCCAGGAGCUGCGUACCUGCCGAUCACCCUCUCGUCCUGAUCGCACACGAACACCAAACACAUGUUUCCUCUUCUUCCUCUUGCUCUUUCUUAUUUUUGUCAAAGUAAAUCAAAUGGAAUAUCUUUUUGCUUUAGAAAGGUUGAUUGUUGAUGUAUUUAUAGAGGAUGACUUCCAUGGAAAUAGAUUUUUGUUUCCGCGUGAGAAAAGUGAAUUUAGGAUAUCCAGAAAA